AACGAACGCUGGCGGCAUGCCUAACACAUGCAAGUCGAACGAGACCUUCGGGUCUAGUGGCGCACGGGUGCGUAACGCGUGGGAACCUGCCCUUAGGUUCGGAAUAACUCCCCGAAAGGGGUGCUAAUAUCGGAUAAUGUCUUCGGACCAAAGAUUUAUCGCCUUUGGAUGGGCCCGCGUUGGAUUAGCUAGUUGGUAGGGUAAAAGCCUACCAAGGCGACGAUCCAUAGCUGGUCUGAGACGAUGAUCAGCCACACUGGGACUGAGACACGGCCCAGACUCCUACGGGAGGCAGCAGUGGGGAAUAUUGGACAAUGGGCGAAAGCCUGAUCCAGCAAUGCCGCGUGAGUGAUGAAGGCCUUAGGGUUGUAAAGCUCUUUUACCCGGGAUGAUAAUGACAGUACCGGGAGAAUAAGCUCCGGCUAACUCCGUG
rnacentral:rRNA from 1 species